AAGGGGGUAGCAAUACAACCGGCGCACGGGUGAGUAACGCGUACACAACAUACCAUAUACUGGGGUAUAGCUUCGGGAAACUGGAGAUAAUCCCCCAUAACAUUGCGAGAGGGCAUCUGAUUGCAAUUAAAGUUUCGACGGUAUAUGAUUGUGUGCGUUUGAUUAGCUUGUUGGUAGGGUAACGGCCUACCAAGGCGACGAUCAAUAGCUGGCGUGAGAGCGCGACCAGCCACACUGGAACUGAGACACGGUCCAGACUCCUACGGGAGGCAGCAGUAGGGAAUAUUGGACAAUGGGCGAAAGCCUGAUCCAGCCAUGCCGCGUGAUAGAUGAAGGCCCUCUGGGUUGUAAAUAUCUUUUAUCUGGGAAGAAACUCCUCUAUUCUUAGAGGCCUGACGGUACCAGAGGAAUAAGCACCGGCUAACUCCGUG
rnacentral:rRNA from 1 species